GAGAGAGAGAGAGAGAGAGAGAGAGAGAGAGAAACAAGAUUAAAUGUUUUUAAGACGAAAAACAGAGCUUCAAAGAAUGGACUGAAUAAAUACUGGCGCCAUAACACCUUCAUAACGGUGUCCCUUCACUGCCACACAGAGCCUGCUUCACCACGCCGCACCUCAAGGAGGGCCUCAUCGCCUCCUGGAUACCAUCACCGUCAUGGACGACGUGUGGCUCGUCACAAACUGGCGGGUUUGCAGUGGGUGAGGAGCCCGACGCCCCUCUUCGGGGUGAAGAGCUUCGCCCCCCUUCCAGUGUAACUAGUCGGACCGCCCGAAGUGCACCACCACGGAGGUGUGCAACGUGUGGCACAAGGGCAGCCUCCGGUACAUGAGGACGUGUCAGAAGUGCCUGCACCAGUGCCUCUUGACACACAACACCGGCGUCAAGAGUCUACUCAGUGACCUCCCCUAAGACUGUACUCCCUAGGGCUGGGCGGGAACCAGUUCCGGAACUGGUUCCGAGUGUUGGAAGCGGUGUCACAGCCUGUUUUUCCCCCCAGUCCAAAGUUCCCCGGGGAUCUAUAUUUCCCACGGGGGAAUUACGGGACUAGUCUACAUUUCCUCCCUUUAGUUUAGAA